CGUGAGGGAAAGGCGAAAAGAACCCCGGCGAGGGGAGUGAAAAAGAACCUGAAACCGUGUACGUACAAGCAGUGGGAGCACGCUUAGGCGUGUGACUGCGUACCUUUUGUAUAAUGGGUCAGCGACUUAUAUUCUGUAGCAAGGUUAACCGAAUAGGGGAGCCGAAGGGAAACCGAGUCUUAACUGGGCGUUAAGUUGCAGGGUAUAGACCCGAAACCCGGUGAUCUAGCCAUGGGCAGGUUGAAGGUUGGGUAACACUAACUGGAGGACCGAACCGACUAAUGUUGAAAAAUUAGCGGAUGACUUGUGGCUGGGGGUGAAAGGCCAAUCAAACCGGGAGAUAGCUGGUUCUCCCCGAAAGCUAUUUAGGUAGCGCCUCGUGAAUUCAUCUCCGGGGGUAGAGCACUGUUUCGGCAAGGGGGUCAUCCCGACUUACCAACCCGAUGCAAACUGCGAAUACCGGAGAAUGUUAUCACGGGAGACACACGGCGGGUGCUAACGUCCGUCGUGAAGAGGGAAACAACCCAGACCGCCAGCUAAGGUCCCAAAGUCAUGGUUAAGUGGGAAACGAUGUGGGAAGGCCCAGACAGCCAGGAUGUUGGCUUAGAAGCAGCCAUCAUUUAAAGAAAGCGUAAUAGCUCACUGGUCGAGUCGGCCUGCGCGGAAGAUGUAACGGGGCUAAACCAUGCACCGAAGCUGCGGCAGCGACGCUUAUGCGUUGUUGGGUAGGGGAGCGUUCUGUAAGCCUGUGAAGGUGUGCUGUGAGGCAUGCUGGAGGUAUCAGAAGUGCGAAUGCUGACAUAAGUAACGAUAAAGCGGGUGAAAAGCCCGCUCGCCGGAAGACCAAGGGUUCCUGUCCAACGUUAAUCGGGGCAGGGUGAGUCGACCCCUAAGGCGAGGCCGAAAGGCGUAGUCGAUGGGAAACAGGUUAAUAUUCCUGUACUUGGUGUUACUGCGAAGGGGGGACGGAGAAGGCUAUGUUGGCCGGGCGACGGUUGUCCCGGUUUAAGCGUGUAGGCUGGUUUUCCAGGCAAAUCCGGAAAAUCAAGGCUGAGGCGUGAUGACGAGGCACUACGGUGCUGAAGCAACAAAUGCCCUGCUUCCAGGAAAAGCCUCUAAGCAUCAGGUAACAUCAAAUCGUACCCCAAACCGACACAGGUGGUCAGGUAGAGAAUACCAAGGCGCUUGAGAGAACUCGGGUGAAGGAACUAGGCAAAAUGGUGCCGUAACUUCGGGAGAAGGCACGCUGAUAUGUAGGUGAAGUCCCUCGCGGAUGGAGCUGAAAUCAGUCGAAGAUACCAGCUGGCUGCAACUGUUUAUUAAAAACACAGCACUGUGCAAACACGAAAGUGGACGUAUACGGUGUGACGCCUGCCCGGUGCCGGAAGGUUAAUUGAUGGGGUCAGCGCAAGCGAAGCUCUUGAUCGAAGCCCCGGUAAACGGCGGCCGUAACUAUAACGGUCCUAAGGUAGCGAAAUUCCUUGUCGGGUAAGUUCCGACCUGCACGAAUGGCGUAAUGAUGGCCAGGCUGUCUCCACCCGAGACUCAGUGAAAUUGAACUCGCUGUGAAGAUGCAGUGUACCCGCGGCAAGACGGAAAGACCCCGUGAACCUUUACUAUAGCUUGACACUGAACAUUGAGCCUUGAUGUGUAGGAUAGGUGGGAGGCUUAGAAGUGUGGACGCCAGUCUGCAUGGAGCCGACCUUGAAAUACCACCCUUUAAUGUUUGAUGUUCUAACGUUGACCCGUAAUCCGGGUUGCGGACAGUGUCUGGUGGGUAGUUUGACUGGGGCGGUCUCCUCCUAAAGAGUAACGGAGGAGCACGAAGGUUGGCUAAUCCUGGUCGGACAUCAGGAGGUUAGUGCAAUGGCAUAAGCCAGCUUGACUGCGAGCGUGACGGCGCGAGCAGGUGCGAAAGCAGGUCAUAGUGAUCCGGUGGUUCUGAAUGGAAGGGCCAUCGCUCAACGGAUAAAAGGUACUCCGGGGAUAACAGGCUGAUACCGCCCAAGAGUUCAUAUCGACGGCGGUGUUUGGCACCUCGAUGUCGGCUCAUCACAUCCUGGGGCUGAAGUAGGUCCCAAGGGUAUGGCUGUUCGCCAUUUAAAGUGGUACGCGAGCUGGGUUUAGAACGUCGUGAGACAGUUCGGUCCCUAUCUGCCGUGGGCGCUGGAGAACUGAGGGGGGCUGCUCCUAGUACGAGAGGACCGGAGUGGACGCAUCACUGGUGUUCGGGUUGUCAUGCCAAUGGCACUGCCCGGUAGCUAAAUGCGGAAGAGAUAAGUGCUGAAAGCAUCUAAGCACGAAACUUGCC
rnacentral:rRNA from 1 species